rnacentral:lncRNA from 1 species
GAAGAAAGUGAAAGUGCUCAUUAGUAAAUGGAAUUGAUUAGAAGGAUGUAGAAGUAUCUCAGAGUCCAAACAGAGCGAGCCUGCCCAGGGACAGAGCGUGGGACUGGGGCCAGCAUUGUGCAUAGUUAUAUUCACCUGAGUAUGGAGGAGAAGCAGGCUCACUCCGAUAUCUGGGUGGACUGGAGUGAAAGGAUAACUGGAGAGUAAUAUCACAGACGUCUAAAUAACGAAAUUGUAAGUUCCACCUAGAGAAUUAAGGUAACAGUUUAGUUUUUAAGUGUAUUUUAAAUAUAUGGUCAAACAAUACCAUUUUU